UACGGUCACAACACGUUAAAACACCGGUUCUGUACGAUCACCGAAGUUAAGCAAUGUCGAGUCUAGUCUGUACCUAGAUGGGUGACCACUUGGGCAUAUCAGGUGCUGUAAG